rnacentral:rRNA from 1 species
AUUAUAGUGUAAUUAAAUUUUUUUGGAAAUGAUUAAAUAAUGAAGUUUAUUUUGAAUAAUAUUUUUUAAGUGAAAUUUAAUUUAUUAAUAAAAUAUGAUUUUUCAAUUGAAGUCUAUAAAUUAAUUUUUAAACUAGGAUUAGAUACCCUAUUAUUUUAACUUAAUAAUAUUUCCUUAUAAUUAAUAGUUAUGUUCUUUAAAGUAAAAAAAUUUGGCGGUAUUCUAUACUUAUUAGAGGAACCUGUUCUAUAAUUGAUAAUCCACGAUUAUAUUUACUUUUUCUUUAGUUUGCAUAUCGUUGUUUAAAAUAUUUUUUUAGGAUAUAUUUUUAAUUUAAAUUAUAAAUUAAUUCAGAUCAAGGUGUAGUUUAUGAAAAAGAAGAAAUGGGUUACAAUAAUUUUAAUUUUGGUUUAUAAUUUUUAAAAUUUUAUUAAAUUGGAUUUAGAAGUAAAUUUAUAUAUAUUUAUAAAUUGAUUUUAGCUCUAGAAU